AUUUUUAUAAAUAAGUAGUAAAAUAUUUUAUUAAAACUUUUGUAGUUUGGCGGCAUUUUUUGUAUUAGAGGAACCUGCUACUUAAUCGAUAAUCCACGUUAAAUUUCACUAUUAUUUACAUCUUAUAUACCUCCAUCAAAAGAACUUAUUUUUGUAAUAUUAUUCUAAAAAGUUAUCCCUAAAAAGUUAGGUAAAGGUGUAGACAAUAUAAUAGAUUAUAGUGGGUUACUAUAAAAUUUUAUUUAAGGACAACAAAUGAAAAUUUUUAGAUAAAAAGGAUUUAUUAGUAAAAUUUAAAUAAUUAUUAAAUUUGAACAUUAAAAUAAAUGUGU
rnacentral:rRNA from 1 species